UACAGAGGGGGCAAGCGUUGUUCGGAAUUACUGGGCGUAAAGGGCGCGUAGGCGGCCCGCUAAGUCGAACGUGAAAUCCCUGGGCUCAACCCAGGAACUGCGUCCGAUACUGGUGGGCUUGAAUCCGGGAGAGGGUCGCGGAAUUCCCAGUGUAGAGGUGAAAUUCGUAGAUAUUGGGAAGAACACCGGUGGCGAAGGCGGCGACCUGGUCCAUUACUGACGCUGAGGCGCGACAGCGUGGGGAGCAAACAGG
rnacentral:rRNA from 1 species